GCAGAGUUGUGGUGGAUGAUGACUGUUAGCACCACGCACAUUUCCCCAAGGAAGAACAUGCGUAUCUGGGAGCCCUUGACAGACAACAUGAAGAAAUUCACUAUUGAGACAAUAGCAGCAGAGCAGAGUUGCAGCAGAAGCGGUGGAUGACAACGGUGGUGUAGCAGUCCUACUGCACCGUCUGCUGAAAGCAGUAUGGCGUCUGCACAGAAAAAAGGCACGAAACGGUUGUCUGCCAUUGCUUUCAUGGAGGGAGGGGCGACUGACGUCAUGUACCCAAAACCACUCGCGACAAUGUUUUUACCCCAACAAGCAUUGGGAGCUUAACCUAGAAUUCCAAUGGGCAGCAGAGACUGCGGGAACUGUGGGAUAGCUUCCCACAGUGCACCGCUCUGAGUCGAUGCUAGCCACGGUAGUGAGGGUGCACUCCACCGACUUAAUGUGCUUAGUGUGGACAUACGCAAUUGACUGUAUAAAAUCAAUUUCUAAAAAUCGACUUCUAUAAUAUCAACCUAAUUUUGUAGUGUAGAGAGGAGAUUCAAAGAGUAAACGUCAUGAUUAUUAUUACCAUAGUACCUAGGAGCCCUAGUUACGUAUGAGGAUGCCAUUUUGGUAGGCACUGUACAGACAGAAGAACAAGACAGUCACUGCCCUAAGAAGCUUAUAGUCUAAGUAUAAGACAAGAGAUGUAUGUAGACACAUUGGGGAGUACAAGUGAACAAUGAAUUAGCAUUGGUUAGCAAAAUAGACUUUGGUCUCUGCAAACCAGAAGUCUAAUAGUUGUAAAGUUUCGUCUUCGUCUUCAUGUUCCUGUUCCUGUUCUUUUUUUUGGUAGGCAUCAUGGCAAAGUAGAAUUUUGAGGAGGGAUUUGAAGGUGGAUAAUGAGGUAGCUUUGUGGAUAUGUACAGGGAGCACCCAAGCAUGAGGCAGCUUGAAAGAAAGCAUAAACGUGUUGGUUUGAAAAAUCUAACAAGUAGGCAAUCGGUCCUGUUGUACGAUAAGUGUGAAAUUUAAAGAACUAGGGUUCGUUUAAGUUUGACUAAGGAAUUAUGUAUUUGUUGUGAAGAAAGGCCCUAACUAGCAAAUGGAAGAAAGGGCCUUGAAAAUAAUGAGUUAUAUAUUGGAUGUCUGAUUCGAAGAAUAAUAAAAUAAGAGGAAGUUUCUAAAAAGAAGGCUGCUCUGAUUGAUAGCAGUGACUGGUCUUAAAUAAGACGGAGAAUCUAUCUUCAAAUGAGCCAACAUGUUCCUUUUCACCUCGCAUACAAGUGUUAUUUCAAAAAUUAGGGCCUAUGUGAAACCAGGUACAAAGGAAAAACUGUUGGUCAGCAAGAAGAGGAGGAAGAAGUAGGGAGGAAAGGCCUUGGGAAGAAAGGUUGUAAAUCCUAAGGGAGAAUUGUGUCAUUGGUUUUUAGCUGAAGUCAAUUAGCAAUGACCUCAUUUGUUGAAGGGUAUAAAAAGAGUUCUGAACUUGAGGGUUUUUUUUUUUUUUUUUUUUUUUUUUUUUUUUUUUUUUUUUUUUUUUUUCAGACCUUACCUGAUCAUGCUAUAGCAUCCCAGCAGGGGACUAUUUUCCCUAGGUGUGGCGUAUUUGUGAGUAUACUGAGCACAUGCUUAUAAAUAUUUUGUUACUGUAUUGGAUAUAGUGACUGCUAUUUUUAGGCUGUCAGGCAUGUUUAGAGUAACUGUGUAAAAUACCAUUUAUUCUUUGGACUAAAUAAAGGAAUUUAUGGUUAAAUUAGGGUCUCCCAUAUUAAUAUUAAUAUUAAACUGCUGGCAUCAUGGGCCAAUUGGAGGCGAGUAUCAACAGCUUGAUAGUGAAUGAGAAAUGAUAGGUGGGGUGGGUAGGCCAUAAAGGGCCUUGAAAGUGAAUACAAGCAGUUUAUGGUUGAUGCAAAAGAGGAGGAGGGAGCCAGUGGAGGGAAUUAAAAAGAGGGAUAAAUGGUCAAAGUGACAGGUUAGGAAAAUGAUCUAUUCAGCAAAAUUCUGAAUAGAUAUGAGCUGGGCAAAUUGCAUUUGUCAAGACCAGAGAGAAGGAUGUUGCAGUAAUUGAGAGGUUUGAGAGUUUUAGCUGUAUGGAUGGAUAAGGAAAGGCCAUAUCUUGGACACGUUAUAUAGAAAUAAUUGGCAAGAUUUAGCCAUGGCCUGAAUGUGAGAACCAAGAGAGUUAUGAGUCAAAGAUGAUGCCCAGGUUACUGGCUUGAGUGACAGGCAGGAUGAUGGCCUUGUUCACAGCAGUUGAGAAAGGAGGCGAAAGUGAGGAGGAUAUGGGGAGGGAGGGGGGAAGAUUAGGAGCUCUAUUAAGCCAUGUUUACCUUGAGCUGAUGGUUAAACAUCCACAAGGAGAUGGUAGAAGAGACGAGCCAAGAUUUUAGUUUUGACAGGAGACGGGUUUGGUGUAGAAAGUUCGAUCUGAGAGUCAUCAGCAUAGAGAUGUUAUCACAUCUCUGAUCUAUGCCCCAGCCUGUAACAAGUCUCCUGGGCGUGACUUGGAUAGUGCACUGGUCCCCAAAGACCAGCUCAGUUCCACAGGGACAGUGCCAUGGCCUCCAAGACUCUUAAGAUUGGAUUCUUCAGCACCAAUGAUUUGUCUCUCUCCAUGGCUCCCUGCAGUGAAUCCAGCCAAGCCAGAGUCCUAUGGGAGGCUUGUACUGUUCCUUCUAAGGGCUCAGGGCUCUCAAUGAGUAUUUGCAGUGACACAAGGCAGCUUUUUUUCAAAACAAGGUAACUAUUAAUCACCUGGCAUACAGAAUCUAAAGGUGCAUAAGUUAACGGAGAGAGGUGGAAGUUAAGCCAAAGUUCCUUCAGUGCCAUCAGCCAAACCGUGACGGACUCCAUUCCUGGCUCCCUUCUUUGUCCCUCUUUGUCUCCACAGAUCAGAGCUUCCUAGUCCCUCCAAAAGUGCCCAUCUUAUUCCAGUCACCAGACGUUUUUGUAUUCUCCAGCUCAGUUCAAAUGUCAUGCAUGCUGGGGUUUCCUGCUGUUAGGUGUUUGUUGUUCAGUCAUUGGGCCUUUUUUAAUUUGUUGGAUCCUAUGUUGAUGAUGAGGUUAGUUUCAACCAGUUCUUUAAUGAUGUUGUUUGUUCCUCGCAGAUAGCUAACUCGCAUGCAUACCUCAUGCCUUCUGUGCUGUUCUGGGAGAAGAUUAAAACCUUUUAACAAUGCAAAGUGCAGAGGGAAACAGAGGCACACUAGGGUCAUAAAAAUAUUACAGAAAAUUCCCGAUUUGACACACAUGGUAGUUGAAUUUGUGUUUGUAGAUAAGAUUACCCAGAUACAAGGUAAGAAGAGAAUGGGCCCAAGGACAGAGCCCUGUGGAACCCCCACAGAAAGUUGAAGUGGGGAUAAGGAGGGCCCUCCAAAGGGCAUGCUGAACAAGUGAUUAGAGAGGUAGGAAAACCAGGAGAGGACAGACCAUCUCAGUAUUCAAAGUGGGUGGGUAUCCUAAACUUUUUCAUCUUUAUUUACUUGUGUUGUGAUACAGUGCCUAGGAGGCCCAGUCAUGGACCAAGAUCCUGUUAUGCUGCUACAAGCCACUCCAUUCUGCUGCAGAAUGUUUCUAGUAGCCUGCAGUACUGGGUUGUCUCCUCGCUACAGUGCUUCUGGGGUCAUUGCAUGCUGUGACCUAAAAUCAAUAAUCUUAGUGCUGCCUCUUUCCCAUGCUGCCUAGAUAUCCUGCCUACAGCAGAAAUACCAGAUGGCCCUGGCUUUCUUUCUAGAAGAUAAUUUUCCUAGCAUUAGUUAGCAAGUAGUGAGUUUGUAAGGGUUAAACCCCCUUUCUUCUAAGCUUUUCGCCUUGGGGAAGGAAGUAUGUUUGGUGCAUUUGGUCUAUGUAGACAUCUUUCUUGUGUGCAUUCUGAGACUUUCCAUUUCUCCUCUAAGUGGGAGUAUUGUUGAGCAGGCAAAUAAAUGCUCCGAAUUUAAGGUAUGCACAGUUUGUGGAUAUCUGUCAUAGUGGGCAACAGAAUGGGACUUGUACCUUGCCUUUUCUCAUCCACAGUCUGCUGGAUAAAAGAGCUCUGUAUCUUAAAGGCAAGAAGGGGUCUCAAUCCUACUCCUCACAGCCUGGAUUCCACCAUUGAGAGCAAACAGCACUGGGAAGUCCAUAUUGUCGAGAACAGAGAGAUAGUAGGACUCAGUUUCUCAUAGUCGUAUCAUUGGAACAUACUUUGGGGAAGGAGAGAUUAAGUCUUGCUGAAUGUACCAAAUGCCAUCUGUCUUUGGUACCCCUUAGAUCUGUAUUCAUUAAAGUCCCUCCUACAACACUCAUAUGGGUGCUCAGCAGCCUCAGAAAGCAGGUAAGCAUUCUUUCAGUUUUCUAAGGCUCACCAGCAGAAUCUCCCCACGAUUACAGGAAUUCAUCCUAGGGUCUGUCCUAGGUCAUAGUAUCCACAGAUAAAAAACAUGCUGCUCCCCUUUUAGAAAGAGCCAGUAAGAAGCAUGUCAGAAAAGCACUAGACCACCCUGCUGCUUCUCCCUUCCCACCUUUUUUUGGGACAGCAUAGUCAUUGCUUAUUUUAAAAAAGAAAAAAAAAAUUGAAGAGUAAAAAGGCUAAUAAAAUACAAAGGAAGAAAAAAAUCCCCAAAGCAUUUAAUUCCUAUUCCUUAACAAAAACAAAAAACCCCUGAAAUUUCAGGCUAUUGAAUUUGUCCAGAAUGAGUUUUAACUUUUUGCUUUUGUUUUCUACCCCCACUGCUUUCUUCCUUUCUUUUUAUGUGUCUGUAGGAUCAGCGCAAGUAAUAUUUCACACAUGGAAACCACUGGAGACUGCAAAGGGACAGUUGGUAACACUAAUCAGUUUAUUCUACGCUGUUUACAUGGAAUUGCCAGAGAAGGGAAACUAACUAGGUUCACAAUCCUAAUCCUAGUUAGUUUACUCUUUAUCCGUGUAAAUGGGAAGAGAAACUGACUAGAAUGCAGGCUUAUGCCUCGUGACUUUUUUUUU